GAUGAACGCUGGCGGCGUGCCUAAUACAUGCAAGUCGAGCGAACGGACGAGAAGCUUGCUUCUCUGAUGUUAGCGGCGGACGUGUGAGUAACACGUGGAUAACCUACCUAUAAGACUGGGAUAACUUCGGGAAACCGGAGCUAAUACCGGAUAAUAUUUUGAACCGCAUGGUUCAAAAGUGAAAGACGGUCUUGCUGUCACUUAUAGAUGGAUCCGCGCUGCAUUAGCUAGUUGGUAAGGUAACGGCUUACCAAGGCAACGAUGCAUAGCCGACCUGAGAGCGUGUACGGCCACUCUGAAACUGAGCCGCGGUCCAGACUCCUACGGGAGGCACAAGUAGGGAAUCUUCCGAAAUGGGCGAAAGCCUGCAGGAGGAACGCCGCGUGAGUGCUGAAGGUCUGCGGAUCGUAAAACUCUGUUCUUGGGGAAGACCAUAUGUGUAAGUAACUGUGCACAUCUUGCGGGUACCUAAUAAGAAAGCCACGGCUAACUCCGU
rnacentral:rRNA from 1 species